AAAGAGUAUAGUUUUGCAUUGUUUAUGUCCAACGUUCGACUGUUCAUACUAUUUUUUUAAAAAAAUAUGAUUAGUAUUAUUAUUAUUAUUAGAUCAUAAAACAUGAAUAGUACUUUAUGUGUGACUAUUUUUUUAUAUUUUCUCAUAAAUUUUGAAACAAGACGUACGAUCAAACGUUGAACACGGAAACCCACAACUACAUUUAAA
rnacentral:pre_miRNA from 1 species